rnacentral:ncRNA from 1 species
AUUCUGGUUGAUCCUACCAGUAAUAUACGCUUGUCUCAAAGGUUAAGCCAUGCAUGUCUAAGUACAAACAUAAAUGAAUGUGAAACCGCAU